UACGUAGGGGGCAAGCGUUGUCCGGAAUCAUUGGGCGUAAAGCGCGUGUAGGCGGCUUGGUAAGUCUGGUGUGAAACCUCGGGGCUCAACCCCGAGCCUGCACUGGAUACUGCCUCGCUUGAGUCCGGGAGGGGAGAGCGGAAUUCCUAGUGUAGCGGUGAAAUGCGUAGAUAUCUGGAGGAACACCGGUGGCGAAGGCGGCAUUCUGGACUGUAACUGACACUGAGGAACGAAAGCCAGGGGAGCAAACGGG
rnacentral:rRNA from 1 species